CCCUUAGAUGUUCUGGGCCGCACGCGCGCUACACUGAUCAAAUCAACGAGCAAUUCACCUUGACCGAAAGGCCUGGGUAAACUCCGAAAUUUGAUCGUGAUGGGGAUAGACUAUUGUAAUUAUUAGUCUUCAACGAGGAAUUCCUAGUAAGCGCAAGUCAUCAGCUUGCGUUGAUUACGUCCCUGCCCUUUGUACACACCGCCCGUCGCUACUACCGAUUGAAUGGCUUAGUGAGGCUUCCGGACUGCUGGCUUAGGCUUCGCAAGGGGCUUUUGCUGCGGAAAGUUAUCCAAACUUGGUCAUUUAGAGGAAGUAAAANUCGUANCA
rnacentral:rRNA from 1 species